rnacentral:rRNA from 1 species
CCUACGGGAGGCAGCAGUAGGGAAUUUUCCACAAUGGGCGAAAGCCUGAUGGAGCAAUACCGCGUGCAGGAUGAAGGCCUUCGGGUCGUAAACUGCUUUUAUGUGCGAAGAAUUUGACGGUAACACAUGAAUAAGGAUCGGCUAACUACGUGCCAGCAGCCGCGGUCAUACGUAGGAUCCAAGCGUUAUCCGGAAUUACUGGGCGUAAAGAGUUGCGUAGGUGGCAUUAUAAGUGGAGCGUGAAAGCGUGCGGCUCAACCGCAUUAUUGCGUUCCAAACUGUGAAGCUUGAGUAUGGGAGAGGUAGAUGGAAUUUCUAGUGUAGGAGUGAAAUCCGUAGAUAUUAGAAGGAACACCGAUGGCGUAGGCAGUCUACUGGACCAUUACUGACACUAAGGCACGAAAGCGUGGGGAGCAAACGGGGAUUAGAUACCCCGGUAGUCCACGCUGUAAACUAUGGAUGCUAGCUGUGACACACAUCGACCUGUGUCGUAGCGAAGUUAACGCGUUAAGCNNCCGCCGCGGAGGUACGGUCGCGAGAUAAACUACGAAGAAGUAGUACGCGUGAGACGUCGCGACGGACGACGACGAGGGAGAGG